rnacentral:misc_RNA from 1 species
GAAGAGCAGUAAUACCAAGUUCCUGCCUCAUAAUAUUGAAAAACAAGUCAAGCAGUAAUGCAGUGAAUGGGAAAUGUAAAUUGUGGUGCUGUGAUGACCAGUAAGACUUGAUACCAAACAAAUGCAUUCAAAUUAGCAAAAAAAAUAAAGGCAAGGUAAGCUUUCACAUCUGAAAGACUAUUCCAGGAAUAAUGCUAUCAAAAUAUUCAUGCAAUUCACCAUAUUAUAAGGCUUCACUGAGCUGCAUAUCUAUAUGAGACAACAUUAAAUAUAACAGAAAAAUACUAUAACAAAGAUGAUCCCCAGUUGGGAGGGACAGAACCUCUUUUUGAAAAAAGGGCCCAGGGAGGGUCACAUAUUACUAGAAAACAUAGUUAUUAAAGGCGCACCUCAGGCACGCUUCAGGCUCAAGGCUCACCAGGCUCCAACCCUAACGCCUUAUGCUCCUAGGUGUGCGCCUUUGUUCUAGGCACAAGAUUCUAGAGAGGCAUGCUUUCUUUAUUUCUAUC